rfam:Clostridium argentinense CDC 2741 T732.Contig237, whole genome shotgun sequence.
CCCAAGGGUUGGGCUGUUCGCCCAUUAAAGCGGCACGCGAGCUGGGUUCAGAACGUCGUGAGACAUUUGGGUCCCUUUCCGUCGCGGGGGUAGGAAAUUUGAAGGGAGCUGUCCUUAGUACGAGAGGACCGGGAUGGACAGACCUCUGGUGCACCAGUUGUCACGCCAGUGGCACAGCUGGGUAGCUAUGUCUGGAAGGGAUAAACGCUGAAAGCAUCUAAGCGUGAAGCCCCCCCUAAGAUGAGAUUUCCCAUAACAUAAGUUAGUAAGACUCCUGGAAGAACACCAGGUUGAUAGGUGAGAGGUGUAAGCAUGGUAACAUGUUCAGCUGACUCAUACUAAUAAGUCGAGGGCUUGACCUA